GGUAAUCUUCGUGUUUAAAGGGGAAGACGGUUUAAAUCCGUCGCGGUUGCGCCACUGUGUGCGGGGAGCAAACCGAACUGAAGCCACUGCGUCGAAAGAGUGGGAAGGCAUCGGUGAGCUAGGAUCCGUGAGUCAGGAGACCCGCCGAGGGAGA
rnacentral:ncRNA from 1 species